rnacentral:rRNA from 1 species
GACGAACGCUGGCGGCGUGCUUAAUACAUGCAAGUCAACUUGACUUUAGAUAGCAAUAUCGAAAAGUAGGGUGGCGCACGGGUGCGUAACGCGUAGGUAAUCUGCCCUGAGGUCUGACAUAACCCGUCGAAAGGCGGGCUAACAUCAGAUGAUAUAUAAUCACGACAUCGUGGAAAAUAUCAAAUCUUCGGAGCCUUGGGAUGAGCCUGCGUCUGAUUAGGUAGUUGGCGGAGUAAUAGCCCACCAAGCCUACGAUCAGUAGCUGGUCUGAGAGGAUGAUCAGCCACACUGGAACUGAGACACGGUCCAGACUCCUACGGGAGGCAGCAGUAAGGAAUAUUGCUCAAUGGGGGGAAACCCUGAAGCAGCAACGCCGCGUGAAGGAUGAAAUACUUUUGUAUGUAAACUUCUGUAAGAUGGGAAAAAUAUUCUCCUCGGAGAAUUGAUUGUACCAUCAGAGUAAGCCCCGGCUAACUACGUGCC